CAUAACUAAUAAUAGCUUUAUUGUAUGCACAUAAUGAAAGGGGGAUCAUUACUUUUGGGGUCACUACUAUCGUCUGAUCAUAAAUGAUGUCGAACAGGGGAAACUAGGGGCGAAUUAAUCGCUAUGUCGCAUCACCAAAGUCAGAAUUCAAUUACUUUAUGUCCAGGUCGACAAGGACGCUUUGCUCACUUGGAGCCAGACAUAAGGCGAUCUACAGUCGAGAGAAGAGAAUGUACACGCUGUGUACUAUUAGGAGUUACUGGCUUGGCCAUACUUCUGAGUAUGUUUGCAUGUGUAGUUUUAAUAAUCGUUAAUAUCAACCUACCCGAAAAUCAAGAUGAUUGAAAAAUUUGUUUUAACACCACUGACCUGAAACUCUCCCCAUUUCGAGACCAAGAAAGUGACAUUGAAAAGUUAAGUAAAGAGGUGAGAGAUGACCAAUUUUUGUAUUGUGCCAGCACUCCACAACAAAUGCAGAUAAUACUGAAGUGGGUUAUUGAUAACAAGACAAAAACUUAUGUGGAUAAAUAUUAUGACAAAUUGACGGACACUUUAUUGGAGGGGAAUGCUGUCAGUGCGCAUGUGUUAAUAGCUUCUGGUAAUUCACCAGCAUACAACAACAAUACAACAGCACAACUGAUGCAAAAGAAGUCACUAUCUCACUCUAAUGGAAUUAACAUUGGUCCACAUAGAGUUGUCAUCAAAACUAAGGGGACCUACUUUUUGUAUAGUCAAAUUUAUUUCCAACUUAUUCAUGAUUUUCAUUACCAUAUGAACAAAAGCGUUACAUUAUCCCAUAAAGUCGUCCGAUUUCGACAACGGUCUCCGGAACAUAACGCUCAAAAGGAACUUCUUCAGAACUACCAACAAACAUUCAUCAAGCAUAAUGAAACGUACAGGCGAAGCAGCUUCGUUUCCGGUACUUUUGAAAUGAUUGCAGGAGAUGAGAUUGGCGUCACGGUGACCAAUCUGAGUUACAUAGCGCGUAUACCCGUAACAAAUUUCAUAGGCCUCUUUUUACUCGGAAACGGUGCGUGAAUACAAUCAAAAUGCAUUACAAAUGUUCCUGGAUUCUAUUCCAGUAGAUAGGAGCAUAUUCCCAAAAUAUUCCUGGAAUUCCAUUCUAAAACAUAAAUGGAUAUUUCCCAAAUUUCUUAAUAUACUUCCCACAUGUUGGUUAUCCUUUUGAUCUUCUCUUUUUUUUAUUUCCUACUGGAAAAGUUGUUUCAAUUUGAUGAUACAUUUUUUUUAUCUGUCUAUGUAAAAUUAAAGUGUAUCCCAUAAUUGUUAAUAUGUAUCAAGAAAUGACCAGAACAUCAUCUAACCACAUUAUUCAUCUUCUAACCAUAUUGUUGAUCUUACUGAAUUUCACCACAUUACAUAAUAUGCUAAUAUAGGUAAGUAGAUCAAAUGCCCACAUAGACGAGGGGGUGUCAGUCGACAUAAUGUCUCCACCUGCAGCAAAAUCGUCCGUGCUAGCUCUAAAAUCAAUGUCAACAAAUCCCACUGGAUGGGUUUUUAAAACAAAACAACACCCUGAAUUAAAUAUCCGUCAUGACAUGACGAAGGUGUUGGUGGGCUUAUGUUACUUUGUCUGGGAAACCAAACUGUUUGUAUUAAUUUUUGGGGUACAGCUUUGGUGGCUGGGAGUUGGGAAGGGUAAGGGUGUAAAUGCUGGAAAACCCCAGCGUCAAAAUUGUGUUUGAUAAUAUUGAGUCGCUAUAAAUUCUGUAUCAACCUGAGCAGAAUGCAUCCUCGGUAUCACCAGUGGUCUCAUUCCGUUCUACUCCACUAUACCCUGAGUUAUUCCAUAGGGUUUCCACGAUUUCAAAUUAUCUGCGCUGGCCUUGAUUGUAGCUAAAGUCUGCGAACCAAUCAAAAUACAGUUUACAAACCAGUCGUUUCGCGUUCGUUUUUAUAAGGGUAGAUAACCAUAUUCAUGUCCAUUUACUGACUGAUUUAUGUAAAUAAUGUAUAUAUUUUUAAUUCAUUUAUAUUUAAUUAAUAUACUAAUAUACUACAAUUAUACUUUGUUGUUAAUAAAUACGCAUUUAGUAUAAUUUCGAAUUCUCUCAUUGAGGCUACCUUCUGGCUAACUCCUAACCCUUUCUCUUAAAGGAGAGCCAUUGAGUUUUGCUUACUUUACCCAAUAAGAGUUACUUCCCUUUGGCAACUUCCUUUGCAAUUAACGAAUUAUGGGAUUGGUCGAUAAAAAUAGCACAAUCAUCACGGGCGGAUAACUUGAAAACGUGCCCUUCCACCCGAUUAACCCAAGGGUUAGUGGAGUGAAACGGGAUGAGACCACUGGGGAUACAAAGGAUGAGCAGAAUGGUAAGGGUUAUGGAAAACCCCAGCGUUAAAACUGACGUUGCGAAGUCUCCAGAGUAGCAUACAUAUAGUAACCUUAUUAAUAUUUUAAUAUCGAAUUAUUGUGUAUUGACAAGGUUUUAUCUAACAUGAAAACAGGGUUAUUGAAAUGUUACCACAAUUAUUACCUUAAAUUAUAUUGUAUGUUAAAUUUAUAGUGUCAUACAUUAUAUUAUAAUAAUACAAGCAAAUAAUUUAUGUCAUCACCAGUUGCAGAUUACUAUGUCGGACCUGCGCCAGGGCGCCUCAGAAACUUAAUUUAAAUUUAAUUAUAUAAAUUAUAUUAAAAAGAAAUUGAACUAAAAUAUAUUAAACUAAAAUUAUUUAUCUUAUAA